ensembl:lncRNA
CACAUGACAUGCAGUCUAACAGAAGUGUUCAUGACACUGCUGCUGCCCGGGCUGUCAUGAAGUCCAUCCCCACAUCACUGACCAAUACAUUCAGUUUAAGGUUCUAUUCACUAUGUGUCUAUAUGCCUUUCAUUUGUGGUCUGGCACGGCUCUAAAUUUCCCUGAAACGCCUUCAUUUUCAUGAUUUAUCUGAUCUGCAAAACUGGAUUCGAAAUGCCUUUGAAUCCACGAUAAGAGCAGCAACGCUGACCUGAGCAACGAGGCCUGCAGGUGUCGCCAAAGCGGCCCGCUCAGCCGGCGCCGUGCAGCAGCGAGGCUCGGCGUUUAUUUCGCUUCCCCAGACUGGGAACCACUACAGCAGUGGGACUGGACGUCUAGCGACACGACCGCGGGCAGACGCGUCAGUGACAGCCAUAUGAAAGCAGUUGGAUUUGUGGAGAAAGUCAAACUACAACAUCGCCAGUGAAGGAUGAGAAGUUCAUGCUGAAACAUGUAAAAAUCAGUCCAGGAGCCACCUUGACAGAGCCGAGGGUUCAGCCGCUCAUUACUGAAGCGGAGGAAGAGGAAGGCGUCCAGGGGUCUUUGACUGCAGAGGUGAGGCACGUCCGCUCCGGAAGGACACUGACUGAACUCAGACAGAAAAAGGAUCCCGUGAUGUAGAUCGGUGAAGAUCAAUCAAAGCCGUGACCACUAGUAUUUAAAAUAUCUGGGAUUCAAGGAUUAUGAAUUGUUAAGCAACACAAAACUAUGCAAAACUAAAUGAAAUGAUAGCAACACAUGACAAACAAAACAAAACACGCUUGCCCCAGGACCUAGCUUGGUUAGCUCAGCUUCCAUCUGAGCUCUUCUCCCUCUCCCCCCUGGGGGGCCUUUGGUCCGGCAAGUCAGCCAGGUGGUCAACGGUGGGAGUUGGUUAUCGCUGCAGCUUUGCAGAUGUUCAGUGUACUCUGUUAUAUUCCAUAACUGUCCCGUAAUAAACAUGACAAAAGCCACUCAAUAGACACACAAACAGACCAGCUGCUCGCAAAGUCAAACACACAAGGCCCUUUAUGUAAUUGAUUUGUUUUUUCAAAUCAGAGAUGAAACAUGAAAGAAGGGGGAUAGAAAAGGGGUGGGAGGUAGAGACGUAGACAACAAGGGGUCAAAGGUCAGGCAGCGUUGUUUAAAUCAAAGCAGGAGGUGAUAGUUCUUCAAAGGAUUAAAGCAUGACGAGGCUCUGGGAGGAAGAGAGCAGAAAGAGGGGAGAGGUAGCAAUUUGCCGAAGGGCGGGAGAAGUGUGAAAAAAGGAAUCGCCAGAAACAACUAAUGCUGCAUAUCGAAUCUCAGGCCCUCAGCGGCGCGGAAAUACUUUUAGAUUAGCACAGACGUGUGGAAAAAAUAA